rnacentral:rRNA from 1 species
GAUGAACGCUGGCGGCGUGCCUAAUACAUGCAAGUCGAGCGAAGCGGGGACGGGUGAGUAACACGUGGAUAACCUCCUAUAAGACUGGGAUAACUUCGGGAAACCGGAGCUAAACCGGAUCCUUAUAGAUGGAUCCUCGCUGCAUUAGCUAGUUGGUAAGGUAACGGCUUACCAAGGCAACGAUGCAUAGCCGACCUGAGAGGGUGAACGGCCACAGUGGAAAUGAGAAACGGUCAAGACGCCUACGGGAGGCAGCAGUAGGGAAUAUUCAGCAAUGGGCGAAAGCCUGACGGAGAAACGCCGCGUGAGUGAUGAAGGUCUUCGGAUCGUAAAACUCUGUUAUUAGGGAAGCGGUACCUAAACAGAAAGCAACGGCUAACUACGUGCCAGCAGCCGCGGUAAUAC